CGAAGGGUCACCCUCGGUGGACGCAACGGACCCGACCGAAUUUAAAUCGCGCGCGCGGUCGCUCGCGACCGACGCGCCCGGGCGGACUUUUCCUUCACGACAUCACUCGAACACCGGGCGAAAAUCCCCGGGCAACGCGGCAGAGAGUGCCAGCCCUCGCGGGCGGGACCUCCGCGACGACGCGCGCCGCUCUCGCGGCGCGCGGCGCCGGAGCGGCUAGCCAUAACACAGUCAUGUGACCAGCGCGGAGACAACGCGCCAACUCAACGGGGUUUACUCUCG
rnacentral:ncRNA from 2 species